CUUUUAAUCAAUUGGUCGCAGGUUCGAAUCCUGCACGACCCACCACUCUAAGUGGAUAGCAUUACUGGACCGUAAAGGAUAACGUUGCGUCAGCAACGGCCCAGAGGGCGAGGCGAAGCCGAGUCAUCCUGUACGACCCACCA
rnacentral:sRNA from 1 species